AGUUCCAGAAGUGGCUUAGAGGUUUCCCUGGAGAGGGAGUGAACAGAAAAGGCUCAACCAGACGCUGCCUCAGAAGCGUUCCAGGAAACAGUAAAAAUCAAGAAAGAGAAAGGGGAAGUUGAUAUCAAAGAAUGUCAACAAUGAUUUUCAGAAACUGAAGCUUAAAAUCUCAGCUCAACCUUGACGAUGGGAGCUGCAUUGUCCCCUGGGACUGCACCGCCAGCGAAGCAAUGCAAUAAUGGAGC